UACAGAGGUCUCAAGCGUUUGUUCGGAUUCAUUGGGCGUAAAGGGUGCGUAGGCGGCGCGGUAAGUCGGGUGUGAAAUCUUGGAGCUUAACUCCGAAACUGCAUUCGAUACUGCCGUGCUUGAGGACUGGAGAGGAGACUGGAAUUUACGGUGUAGCGGUGAAAAUGCGUAGAUAUCGAUAAGGAGACCGUGGCGAAGCGGGUCUCUGGACAGUCUGACGUGGAGGCAACGAAGCC
rnacentral:rRNA from 1 species